rnacentral:rRNA from 1 species
AGACUGAGUUGUUGGGGAUGCACUUUUACCCCCCGGCCGGUUGGCUAUCCAAACUCGGUCAUUUAGAGGAAGUAAAAGUCGUAACAUGGUCUCCGUUGGUGAACCAGCGGAGGGAUCAUUAGCGAGUUAAUUACAAACUCCAAAACCCCUGUGAACUUACCUAUGUUGCCUUGGCAGGUCGUGGUGUGUAGCGUGAUCGCUAUAAGGGAUCACCGCCUCGCACCACGCUGAAAGACCUGUCAAAGGACCCCUAAACUCUGUCUUACAACUGUAUCUCUGAGUCUAUUAUAUAAACAAGUUAAAACUUUCAACAACGGAUCUCUUGGCUCUGGCAUCGAUGAAGAACGCAGCGAAAUGCGAUAAGUAAUGUGAAUUGCAGAAUUCAGUGAAUCAUCGAAUCUUUGAACGCACAUUGCGCCUGAUAGUAUUCUGUCAGGCAUGCCUGUUCGAGCGUCAUUUCAACCCCCAAGCCCUAAUCUGCUUGACGUUGGGAGUUUACGGAGACGUAAUUCCUCAAAUAUAGUGGCGGAGCUAGGUCGUGCUCUAAGCGUAGUAACCACACUCUCGCUUCUGCAGCCGGCCUAGGUCUUGCCGUAAAACCCCUAUAUUUAUUUUUUUACUGGUUGACCUCGGAUCAGGUAGGAAUACCCGCUGAACUUAAGCAUAUCAAUAAGCGGAGGAAAAGAAACCAACAGGGAUUGCCCUAGUAACGGCGAGUGAAGCGGCAACAGCUCAAAUUUGAAAUCUGGCCUUCGGGUCCGAGUGGUAUUUUGUAGAG